UACGAAGGGGGCUAGCGUUGUUCGGAAUUACUGGGCGUAAAGCGCACGUAGGCGGAUCGAUCAGUCAGGGGUGAAAUCCCGGGGCUCAACCUCGGAACUGCCUUUGAUACUGCAAAUCUCGAGUCCGGAAGAGGUGAGUGGAAUUCCUAGUGUAGAGGUGAAAUUCGUAGAUAUUAGGAAGAACACCAGUGGCGAAGGCGGCUCACUGGUCCGGUACUGACGCUGAGGUGCGAAAGCGUGGGGAGCAAACAGG
rnacentral:rRNA from 1 species